CCUUGUACACACCGCCCGUCACACCAUGGGAGUGGGUUGCAAAAGAAGUAGGUAGCUUAACCUUCGGGAGGGCGCUUACCGCUUUGUGAUUCAUGACUGGGGUG
rnacentral:rRNA from 1 species